rnacentral:rRNA from 1 species
GAGUUUGAUCAUGGCUCAGAUUGAACGCUGGCGGCAGGCCUAACACAUGCAAGUCGAACGGUAACAGGAAGCAGCUUGCUGCUUUGCUGACGAGUGGCGGACGGGUGAGUAAUGUCUGGGAAACUGCCUGAUGGAGGGGGAUAACUACUGGAAACGGUAGCUAAUACCGCAUAACGUCGCAAGACCAAAGAGGGGGACCUUCGGGCCUCUUGCCAUCGGAUGUGCCCAGAUGGGAUUAGCUUGUUGGUGGGGUAACGGCUCACCAAGGCGACGAUCCCUAGCUGGUCUGAGAGGAUGACCAGCCACACUGGAACUGAGACACGGUCCAGACUCCUACGGGAGGCAGCAGUGGGGAAUAUUGCACAAUGGGCGCAAGCCUGAUGCAGCCAUGCCGCGUGUAUGAAGAAGGCCUUCGGGUUGUAAAGUACUUUCAGCGGGGAGGAAGGGAGUAAAGUUAAUACCUUUGCUCAUUGACGUUACCCGCAGAAGAAGCACCGGCUAACUCCGUGCCAGCAGCCGCGGUAAUACGGAGGGUGCAAGCGUUAAUCGGAGUUACUGGGCGUAAAGCGCACGCAGGCGGUUUGUUAAGUCAGAUGUGAAAUCCCCGGGCUCAACCUGGGAACUGCAUCUGAUACUGGCAAGCUUGAGUCUCGUAGAGGGGGGUAGAAUUCCAGGUGUAGCGGUGAAAUGCGUAGAGAUCUGGAGGAAUACCGGUGGCGAAGGCGGCCCCCUGGACGAAGACUGACGCUCAGGUGCGAAAGCGUGGGGAGCAAACAGGAUUAGAUACCCUGGUAGUCCACGCCGUAAACGAUGUCGACUUGGAGGUUGUGCCCUUGAGGCGUGGCUUCCGGAGCUAACGCGUUAAGUCGACCGCCUGGGGAGUACGGCCGCAAGGUUAAAACUCAAAUGAAUUGACGGGGGCCCGCACAAGCGGUGGAGCAUGUGGUUUAAUUCGAUGCAACGCGAAGAACCUUACCUGGUCUUGACAUCCACGGAAGUUUUCAGAGAUGAGAAUGUGCCUUCGGGAACCGUGAGACAGGUGCUGCAUGGCUGUCGUCAGCUCGUGUUGUGAAAUGUUGGGUUAAGUCCCGCAACGAGCGCAACCCUUAUCCUUUGUUGCCAGCGGUCCGGCCGGGAACUCAAAGGAGACUGCCAGUGAUAAACUGGAGGAAGGUGGGGAUGACGUCAAGUCAUCAUGGCCCUUACGACCAGGGCUACACACGUGCUACAAUGGCGCAUACAAAGAGAAGCGACCUCGCGAGAGCAAGCGGACCUCAUAAAGUGCGUCGUAGUCCGGAUUGGAGUCUGCAACUCGACUCCAUGAAGUCGGAAUCGCUAGUAAUCGUGGAUCAGAAUGCCACGGUGAAUACGUUCCCGGGCCUUGUACACACCGCCCGUCACACCAUGGGAGUGGGUUGCAAAAGAAGUAGGUAGCUUAACCUUCGGGAGGGCGCUUACCACUUUGUGAUUCAUGACUGGGGUGAAGUCGUAACAAGGUAACCGUAGGGGAACCUGCGGUUGGAUCACC